CCUACGGGAGGCAGCAGUGAGGAAUAUUGGUCAAUGGACGAGAGUCUGAACCAGCCAAGUAGCGUGAAGGAUGACAGCCCUAUGGGUUGUAAACUUCUUUUAUAUGGGAAUAAAACGUUCCACGUGUGGGAUUUUGUAUGUACCAUAUGAAUAAGGAUCGGCUAACUCCGUGCCAGCAGCCGCGGUAAUACGGAGGAUCCGAGCGUUAUCCGGAUUUAUUGGGUUUAAAGGGGGCGUAGGUGGAUUGUUAAGUCAGGUGUGAAAGUUUGCGGCUCAACCGUAAAAUUGCAGUUGAAACUGGCAAUCUUGAGUACGGUAGAGGUAGGCGGAAUGCGUGGUGUAGCGGUGAAAUGCUUAGAUAUCACGAAGAACUCCGAUUGCGAAGGCAGUUCACUGGACUGCAACUGACACUGAGGCUCGAAAGUGUGGGUAUCAAACAGGAUUAGAUACCCCUGUAGUC
rnacentral:rRNA from 1 species